rnacentral:rRNA from 1 species
AGGACGAACGCUGGCGGCGUGCUUAACACAUGCAAGUCGAGCGGAAAGGCCCUUCGGGGUACUCGAGCGGCGAACGGGUGAGUAACACGUGAGCAAUCUGCCCCUAGCUUCGGGAUAGCUCCGGGAAACCGGAAUUAAUACCGAAUACGACUACGGCCGACAUCGGCUGUGGUGGAAAGUUUUUCGGCUAGGGAUGAGCUCGCGGCCUAUCAGCUUGUUGGUGAGGUAACGGCUCACCAAGGCGACGACGGGUA